rnacentral:rRNA from 1 species
GACGAACGCUGGCGGCGUGCCUAAUACAUGCAAGUUGAGCGCUGAAGGUUGGUACUUGUACCCACUGGAUGAGCAGCGAACGGGUGAGUAACGCGUGGGGAAUCUGCCUUUGAGCGGGGGACAACAUUUGGAAACGAAUGCUAAUACCGCAUAAAAACUUUAAACACAAGUUUUAAGUUUGAAGGAUGCAAUUGCAUCACUCAAAGAUGAUCCCGCGUUGUAUUAGCUAGUUGGUGAGGUAAAGGCUCACCAAGGCGAUGAUACAUAGCCGACCUGAGAGGGUGAUCGGCCACAUUGGGACUGAGACACGGCCCAAACUCCUACGGGAGGCAGCAGUAGGGAAUCUUCGGCAAUGGACGAAAGUCUGACCGAGCAACGCCGCGUGAGUGAAGAAGGGUUUCGGAUCGUAAAACUCUGUUGGUAGAGAAGAACGUUGGUGAGAGUGGAAAGCUCAUCAAGUGACGGUAACUACCCAGAAAGGGACGGCUAACUACGUG